CAAGGUUAAGCAGCUAAUGUGGAGCCGUAGCGAAAGCGAGUCUGAAUAGGGCGUUGAGUAUUUGGUCGUAGACCCGAAACCAGGUGAUCUACCCAUGGCCAGGAUGAAGGUGCGGUAACACGCCCUGGAGGUCCGAACCCACUAAUGUUGAAAAAUUAGGGGAUGACUUGUGGAUCGGAGUGAAAGGCUAAUCAAGCUCGGAGAUAGCUGGUUCUCCUCGAAAGCUAUUUAGGUAGCGCCUCGGACGAAUACUACUGGGGGUAGAGCACUGUUAUGGCUAGGGGGUCAUCGCGACUUACCAAACCAUUGCAAACUCCGAAUACCGAUGAGUGCGAGCUUGGGAGACAGACGUCGGGUGCUAACGUCCGGCGUCAAGAGGGAAACAACCCAGACCGCCAGCUAAG
rnacentral:rRNA from 1 species